AUUGAACGCUGGCGGCAGGCCUAACACAUGCAAGUCGAGCGGAUGAAGGGAGCUUGCUCCUGGAUUCGGCGGCGGACGGGUGAGUAAUGCCUAGGAAUCUGCCUGGUAGUGGGGGAUAACGUCCGGAAACGGGCGCUAAUACCGCAUACGUCCUGAGGGAGAAAGUGGGGGAUCUUCGGACCUCACGCUAUCAGAUGAGCCUAGGUCGGAUUAGCUAGUUGGUGGGGUAAAGGCCUACCAAGGCGACGAUCCGUAACUGGUCUGAGAGGAUGAUCAGUCACACUGGAACUGAGACACGGUCCAGACUCCUACGGGAGGCAGCAGUGGGGAAUAUUGGACAAUGGGCGAAAGCCUGAUCCAGCCAUGCCGCGUGUGUGAAGAAGGUCUUCGGAUUGUAAAGCACUUUAAGUUGGGAGGAAGGGCAGUAAGUUAGUACCUUGCUGUUUUGACGUUACCAACAGAAUAAGCACCGGCUAACUUCGUG
rnacentral:rRNA from 1 species